rnacentral:rRNA from 1 species
ACAGGUGCUGCAUGGCUGUCGUCAGCUCGUGCCGUGAGGUGUUGGGUUAAGUCCCGCAACGAGCGCAACCCUCGUGCUAUGUUGAUUUCUCACUAGCAGACUGCCUUGUACAGCAAGGAGGAAGGUGGGGAUGACGUCAAGUCAGCAUGGCCUUUAUGCCCUGGGCUACACACAUGCUACAAUGGGUGGGAACAGAGGGUUGCCACGGAGCAAUUCGGAGCUAAUCCCUUAAAACCAUCCUCAGUUCGGAUUGCAGGCUGCAAUCGCCUGCAUGAAGCCGGAGCUGCUAGUAACCGCAGGUCAGCUAUACUGCGGUGAAUACGUUCUCGGGCCUU